AGAAAAAUACACAGUACACAAAGUGCUAUAAAUAACAAAGAAAUAAAGAACAAAAUAAACAAAAAAACAGGAUACUUAAUGUUAUAUAUUAUAGCUCCGAGUUUCCUCAGUGUCCUUCCUUCGAUCAAGCUCAGUGUGAAAU